rnacentral:rRNA from 1 species
CACGAACGCUGGCGGCAGGCUUAACACAUGCAAGUCGAGCGCCCCGCAAGGGGAGCGGCAGACGGGUGAGUAACGCGUGGGAAUCUACCCAUCUCUACGGAAUAACGCAUGGAAACGUGUGCUAAUACCGUAUACGUCCUUCGGGAGAAAGAGUUAUCGGAGAUGGAUGAGCCCGCGUUGGAUUAGCUAGUUGGUGGGGUAAAGGCCUACCAAGGCGACGAUCCAUAGCUGGUCUGAGAGGCUGAUCAGCCACACUGGGACUGAGACACGGCCAGGACUCCUACGGGAGGCAGCAGGGGGGAAUAUUGGACAAUGGGCGCAGGCCUGAUCCGGCCAUGCCGCGUGAGGGAUGAAGGCCCUAGGGUUGUAAAGCUCUUUCACCGGUGAAGAUAAUGACGGUAACCGGAGAAGAAGCCCCGGCUAACUUCGUGCCAGCCGCCGCAGUAACAC